UAGAGUAACGCGUGGGGAAUCUGCCUUUGAGCGGGGGACAACAUUUGGAAACGAAUGCUAAUACCGCAUAAAAACUUUAAACACAAGUUUCAAGUUUGAAAGAUGCAAUUGCAUCACUCAAAGAUGAUCCCGCGUUGUAUUAGCUAGUUGGUGAGGUAAAGGCUCACCAAGGCGAUGAUACAUAGCCGACCUGAGAGGGUGAUCGGCCACAUUGGGACUGAGACACGGCCCAAACUCCUACGGGAGGCAGCAUG
rnacentral:rRNA from 1 species